rnacentral:rRNA from 1 species
CCCUUAGACGUUCUGGGCCGCACGCGCGCUACACUGACCAGUGCAACAAGCAUCCGUCCUUGGCCGACAGGCCCGGGCAAUCUUUGAACGCCAGUCGUGCUGGGGAUAGAUUCUUGCAAUUAUUAAUCUUCAACGAGGAAUUCCUAGUAAACGCAAGUCAUCAGCUUGCAUUGAUUACGUCCCUGCCCUUUGUACACACCGCCCGUCGCACCUACCGAUUGAAUGGUCCGGUGAAAUCCUCGGAUCGAGCCGUGGGGCAACUCCGGUUCGAGAAGUUGAUUAAACCUUACCAUUUAGAGGAAGGUGAAGUCGUAACA